UUGCUACGGCUCUGCGCUGGAAAUCUACAGUGAAUUCCUUUCUUCCCCCUUCCGGAACACACACUUUUGUAAUGGUCUGUUCAUGUGAAAUGAAGCUACCAAUUAAUCACACUAGCGAAUCCUGGAAUUACUGAGAUACUACGCGAUAAGGAGGAGCACGAAUAAAUUACGCUUUUCGAAAAAUAGUUCAGAUGAUGUUUCCAUAAAAAAAAACGCUGAAACUCCGCCUUUGUACAAAGAUACAACGCACUAUGAACUGCAAGCUCAAAAGCUCAAUAUUCAUUUGUAUAUUAAACAAUUUCAGGAUCAAUCGAGUCGCGAAGUCUGGCAACAUCGUGAUGAGGAGCAACAAGGCAAGCAUACAACGGAAGUUAGAUACAACCAGUACAAGUAUGAGCUGGUGAAUUGUUUGUAUAACGGGGAAAAGUUUAGCCUGCCAUUGUAAUCACUUUUUUUCUUUAAUUCAUUAUAAAUCUGAAUUAUAUUUUAUUCGAAAGCCGAUUAAACAGUGCAACUUCCACGUCAUUUCCAGUUCCUUAAACUCCUAUAAAAUAUAUUAUCGGUGACCGAUUCGACAAUAAUAGUUUUUACGCCCAAUAUUAUUCUCAAAACUAAUAUAAAUUCCCAUCCGUUUUCUUCCAAAGGAAAAGAGCGACAGGGGAAAAAUUAUACACGUAUAGUCAGUAAAACAUGUAUAGGCGUAACAUACCGAUUUCAAGAACAACUGGAAACUCCUGAUGAAUACACAUGCACUUUCACAAAUGUAUUAUAUUUAAUGUAUUAUUUUAUUUCUUGAUUUUUGAUGACGAUAGAAAUGACAGCCAGCAGCAAUGGCUUCUACUUUGCUGUGCUUCUUCGUCACAGCCAGCCUGAGGUGGAGCCCCCACUCGGGUUCGAUCGGAUCAAGGCAUUUUACAGGCAACGACUAUCGCGCUCUCUCUCUUUCCCGCCCUUCCACUCUCAUUUCCUCUCUCUUUCUCUCUGUUUUCAUCAACGUUUGUAGUUCGAUGCGUAAAUUUCGUAGAACUUUUUAUAUUUUCUCAAUUUUUAUAUAGAAAUACGUACAUUACAUUACGAAAUCAAUGAAACCGUUUCUUUUAUGUAUUUGUAUUCAGAUUUUGCAUACUUAUAUUCACUUAAAUGAUUUUUUGAAUACCUUUAUGUACACAGUACUUACAUAUCUACUAUGUAUUUACGUAUAUUUGCAAUAUGAUUUGAUAUUGAAUUGUUUCAAUUUAAUAGGAGAAAAGGAAAAUAUGAUGUAGAAUAAUAAAAAUCACGUUACUUGUACGUCUUACAAUAUGUAAUAGCAAUUCGUACAUGUUAAAUCAUCGACACGUGAGGUUCAGCACGUAGUUAAAUUUUAUACGAAUGGAUAUUUUUAUGACGAAGAAAUUUAAAUUAUUUGAUUUCAUAAUUUGACUGCAUUUAUAUUCGAAUCACUUUAGUAGAUGUAAUUCUUAGAAUGGAUCUUGAUUGCUGGUUGCCAAGUCAUGUAGUGUUUUAACAAUGAGUCAGUUACAAGAAUAUAGUAUCAUUAUAUUGUUUUACAUAGAAAGAAUUGAUUUAAUAGUAGAAAUUACUUGUAUAGCGUAAAAUUUGUUAUACGACAUAACGUUAAAUAAAAAUGAAAUAGUAAAAUAGUAAUAUGAAAUAUGAUUUUAUUGUAUUUAUACAAAGAAAUAGUUAUAAUUUCAAAUGAAAUAAUUCUUAUAAUUUAUAUUUAUUCAACUUGUACUUACUUUCAAGAAAUACACACUUAACAACACCUCCGCAUCUUUAAAGUAAACUCUAGUCUUUCAAUAAUUGCACUGAUGAUGUGCCACAAUAUUGUAGCUUAAGAAUACGGUUUAUGGUUUUCUUUAUCUUUGAGUACACAAUACAUUCAAUCUUAUCAAUUUUACGAAUUGCGUACAUCAUUCACGUUUAAGGAAAAAUAUUAUCAAUAGAUAAUGGUUAUUGUUAUACUGUGAAAGCAUUGGAUGAAAAUUUUUCUUUUAUCCAUUAAAUAUGAUACAUUUACAAAUACAAUAUAUUUACAACAUUUUUAAUAUUUAAUGAUGAUUUAAUUAAAUAGUAUAUUUGGUAUAACAUGUAACAUACAACAUACAACAUACAACA